AAACGCAUUCUUAGAAUCAAUUUUCGGGUUAAGUUUCAAUUUGUUUGUAUAAACUUUAAUUAUACGAUUCAUGAUUAUGAGCAGAAUACACAAUACUGACUUUGAUAGAAAUGGAGAGAAUUUUGCUGCCUAUUAUAUAUUUGGAAGGAAAAAAUAUAUAUUUUUUUUAAUGUUAAGAGUAAAGUAUAAUUUGGAAAUGUAGGUUCCCAUCAAUAUUGUGAAGAAAAUAAUUUUGUCUUAUUUAAAUGGGAUAGCAAAGCUAGAGAUAAGAUUGAUUAAUGGUCACCAAAUAAUUAUUUGAAGAUACAUAAACCAACAAACCCAUAACCCCAAGAAAGCGAAGUUCAACAACCACCCAAUCAAUAUAAUUCCAAUUAAUUAAUUGACCUUCCUUUCCAUUGCCAAAAUCAAUAAUAAUAAUAAUAAUAAUAAUAUUAAUAAUAUUAAUAAUAAUAACAAUAAGGGUUAAUUUCAUACAUUCCUACAAAUAUAAUGAAUAACAAAUAUAUCCCUACAAAGUUCAAUUUUCAUAUAUUAUCCCUACAAAAGUUCUGAUGUCGUUAGAAUCUAUAAGAAAAUUUUAGUUAAUCAUAGGUUAAAUACUUAACUUUGAUUAACUUUUGAUAUUUUUAUCUCUCUUAUAUUAUAUUGUUAUGCCUUUGAAGGGACAUAUUUAUGAUGGCAAAAUUGAAAUAUAAACAAUUCUCUAAUGGUUCUCUAACAAUAACAAACCAAAAGGACAUAUUUGAAAAUAUUAGAACUUUUGCCUGGACAAGAUAUAAAACUUGAACUUUAUAGAGAUAUAUUUAUCAUUCACUAUGUUGCAGGGACCUGUAUAAAAUUAAACCUAAUAUUAAUAACAAGAUCUUAAAAUGAAUAAAAACGAAUAAAAAAGAAUAAAUUCAUACAUCUCUCCACAAGAUUUUAAAACUACUGAUUUAUCCUUAUAAAAUUUUAAUUAUCAAAUAUAUCUUUUUUAAAACUUCAAAAUAUGCAAAUUUUUUUCUAU
rnacentral:lncRNA from 1 species